GUGCUUGCUGCGGCAGCACAUAUACUAAAACUGGAACAAUACAGAGAUUAGCAUGGCCCAAAUGCAAGGAUGUCAUGCAAAUUCAUGAAGUGUUCCAUAUUUUU
rnacentral:snRNA from 1 species